CCGGCACGGGUGAGUAACACGUAUGCAAUCCACCUGUAACAGGGGGGGUAACCCGGAGAAAUCCGGACUAAUACCCCAUAAUAUGGGCGCUCCGCAUGGAGAGCCCAUUAAAGAGAGCAAUUUUGGUUACAGACGAGCAUGCGCUCCAUUAGCCAGUUGGCGGGGUAACGGCCCACCAAAGCGACGAUGGAUAGGGGUUCUGAGAGGAAGGUCCCCCACAUUGGAACUGAGACACGGUCCAA
rnacentral:rRNA from 1 species